rnacentral:antisense_RNA from 1 species
AAUGUAGUCUCCUUGGCCUGCGCUCUGUAGGAGUGGCAGAACAGUAAGAGAAAUGACAAAGCAAGAGGAACCUAAUACUCUUCCUCAUUGGCCUUCCUGUCUCCAUCUUUAUUCCUUCCAGCUCAUUCUCUACAUGACACUGUGAAUGCCGAACUGUCUGGAGGCUGCCAUGAGCAGCCAAUUUGUGAUCUCUGCUUUACCUGAAUUAUUUCCGUGAAUUGUGACAUCAACCUCGCCAGAUAAGAAAGAAGACUGAAGUUCAGAGAGGUGAAGGGACUGGCUCAGGGGCUACCCCUAUGGUUGCGGGAGCUAAGAUUCCAGCCCAGCAGCGUGAUCCAGAGCCCAUCUGAGCUACCCAGAUCUUCCUGCUGUUAAACCUGUCCUGGGGCAGCUCUUGCCUGAUGGGCUACCUGAGGAACCCACAGGAAAUCAAGGGAGGUGCCUGCAAAGUUGCCAUGGGGUCACAGCCUGCCCUUUGGAAGGGGCUGUUUCUGGGCUGCUGUGACUUCCUGCCAUUAUUUCCUCUCUGUUCUCCCUCUGGAAUGAAUAAAGUACUUCUGAAAAAACAUCAACCCAGUUGAUACGGAAAUGCUGGUCCCUACAAUAGAAUGCUCUGUGGUCAUUAAAAAGAUUAAAAAGGUC